rnacentral:lncRNA from 1 species
CACCCCUCACUCCCCUUCUUGGCUUCCAUGGCAACCCCCACGGGAACCUUUCCCCAAUAGAAUCUUUCCCCCACGGGAACCACACCUGUUGGCAUUCUCACAAACAAUCGCAACAUUGUUUCAAUAAUAUAUAGACAUUUUCUCGCAGCUCUGAAGCUUUUUUGAGGCCUUGAUCACAAUUCAUUCUGUGGCAGCACAAUAACCAAACGAUAUGCUGUAUGUGAGGCUCUUGAUCAUAUAUUUAAUCAUGACACUUGUGAGGAGAGAGUCCUUGUUAAACUUUGACACAAAGUAGAGUGUGAUAAAUAGCACAAUAUAUUUCAUCUGAAUAUUUGUUAUAAAGGGCUGUUCUUAAGCAGACGAGUGCCUGGACACAGCUCUUAGAAUUGGUAUAUUGGCCAUACACCACAAACCCCCAAGGUGCCUUCUUGCUAUUAUAAACUGGUUAUCAACAUAAUUAGAGCAGUAAAAAUAAAUGUUUUGUCAUACCUGUGGUAUAAGGUCUGAUAUACCACAGCUGUCAGCCAAUCAGCAUUCAGGGCUCUAACCACCCAGUUUAUAAUACAUGCUAUAAUAUGAAGCAAUUUUAAAACAAAUAAUAUCACAUAAAACAUUUUGUAGAUAUGUCUUUACAGUCAAUGAAUAGCCUACAGGUGAUUGUGGUGUGCAACAGUUAAACAGUAAAUCAUGUUGCUGUCAAAUAACUUCCUUUACACGUUACAGGAUGUGGUCUAAGGGCUGUGUCUGACUUGAUAGAAUACUGGAACAGUUUCAUUCUAUUGUCACAUUUCUAACCAAAGUGACCUUAACCAGAGAGUUUAGAAAACCUCCUACUCUACUAUAUUUGACAACUUGCAUGAUCCACAUGGUCCAUUCCAACCCAGAGAAAAACACAAUUGGGUAACUUUGGGGAAAAACUAACAAAAUUCUUAUAAAGUUGUUUUUCCCUGUGGUUAGCCAGCCUCCACUCACCAUAUGAGUCUCAAGCUAACAUGAAAUAAAAGAAAGUGUUAGAAAUGAAUGGUAAAUAAUGUAUUGUGUCAUUUGAUUCAUUUUUAUUGUAAAUAAGAAUAAUGUUUCUAAAACCUUCUACAUUAAUGUGGAUGCUACCAUGGUUACAGAUCAUUCUGAAUGAAUUGUGACUAAUGAGUGAGAAAGUUAGAUGCAGAAAUACAGUAUCAUUACCCCCCACCACCACAUAUGCUAACCUCUGAUUGUAAUGCUGAGAUGUUAGCAUGUCUUCGGGUUAUGAUAUUUGUGCGUCUAAUUUUGCCACUCAUCAUUACUCACGAUUCAUUCAAAAUUAUCCGUAAUCAUGGUAGCGUCCACAUUUAUGUAGACGUGUUUAGAAACAUAUUCUUUCUUAUUUACAAUAAAAGUGACAAUACAAUAUUUACCAUUCAUUUUUAUUGGGCCCAAAAUAAUCUGAAACACAACCAAAACAAACAGCAAAUGCAUCCAACAAAUUUGUAGAGUCACAAGCUUGAUGUAGUCAUUGCAUGCUAUGAAUAUGGGACCAAAUACUUAACUUUAAUACACAUAAGUGAAAUUCCCAAUACUUUUGGUCCCCUAAAAUGGGGAACUAUGUACAAAAAGUGCUGUAAUUUCUAAACGGUUCACUCGAUAUGGACGAAAAUACCCUCAAAUUAAAGCUGACAGUCUGCACUUUAACCUCAUUGUAUCAUCCAACAUGCUGGAGUACAGAGCCAAAACAAAAAAUGUGCCACUGUCCCAAUGCUUUUGGAGCUCACUGUAUAUAGUUUGAUGUUGAUUUAUGUUAAAUAAUGUCUGUAUAAAUCAGUUUGAUGCAAAUCAGGACAGCUGUCAUACAAAGGCUUCCCAUGUAUUGAUUCAAUCUUUAAAGGGAUAGUUCACCCAAAUAACAAAAUGACAAAUUGGUUUCCUUUUGCUGUAAGCAGUCUAUGGACAAGGUAUGACAGCAAAUCCAUGUUUUGGUUUAGUUUCACUGGCACCAUUUCCACAUGCUAACGUUUCAGCAUUUGUGGCACAAAUCCCAUUCAAGUCAUAAGACCAAUAUUAGCAUUUUUUCACACAUCAUCUCCAAAUCAUUCAAAAGUAUCUACAAUUUAUUGUGAAGCUCAACAAAGUCAGGUAUAGAUGUUUUGAACAUGAUGCGUGAAAAAUGAAUUUACUGUCAGACACCUCUGGUUGACAGAUUUGCAUAUCAGGGUGGUUGGCAUCACCAGCCUUUCCAUUAGAGAAGUAUGGGAACAGUCUCUCAGUAAACGUGUCUUUAUGAGUGUAGAUGUGUCAUGUGUUUGGUGUUGUAGAAGGACACCUCCCCCUGAUAAUCCAGCUGCACUCUGAUCCUCUGGGGUGUCUUCUUUGGAGUGAAAUCUACAGUUACCAUUCCUCAGUUGUACAGUCCAGGUUGUAAAUCCUUCCCCAUUCCUGUGGAUUGACUCUUCGGCCACGCCUAUAUACCAGUGAGGGUGGUCCCCCACCACCUCCCAGCUGAACCCCUCAGAUGCCAGAACCUGGGCAUUAAACCUGUUCCUCUCUGGGUUGUCAGGGAGCUGCAUGUUUUGGGGUAAGGUGUUUCACACUGCUCAGAUCAUCAGACAGUGAGAGGCAGGGGUUUGCAGUGUUAUAUACUCACAGGAGUAUAUUUGAUGAUCCCUUGCAUCUUGUCCCAGACUCUGAACUGCAGGUUUCCCAAGUGUUUGGCCAUGUCUAUCAGCGCUCCUGAGACCAGCUGAGGACCUGGCAGUGUGAACUGGGCUCUGGAGCUUGUCUGGAUGUGUUUGUAGCUCUUGAGGAAUGGCACCUACUGUUUCAGGAGUUCCUGUUUCACCACAGAAAUGCUUAGUGAUCUGGUCCUGAAUGUUCUGCAUCUCUGGCGAUCGUCUUUCCCUUCCUCCCUCAGUGCAGCCUGUCCCCCUGUUGGAUGUCUCAAUAGAAAACCCACCUAACUUUAUAUUACUUAAACAAAAGGAAUAUUCUCAAAAGUCGAUUAUUACAGGUGAUCAGAAAACGUUUCUCUGUUAAAGAAUGACUUCCCCUGAAAACCAACUAAUCGCUUCGAAAACAGCCUGUGUGGCAUCGAUAUGAGUCAAACAUUUAUUCUAGUGUCAAAAUUGACUAAAGUGUAAAUAGGAUAAUUUUACUCAUAAAGUCAGUCUCAUCUAAAACAGAGUUUGGAACCUAAGUGCUUCCCACGUCAUUUAAGGUAGGGUUUGGAUUGUAAUUAUGGCAACAAUUCAUGCCCCCUUUUGCCAAGAUCCACCUGUAAAUCAUCCAAACAUCAGCCAUGGUGGUACGAGUAUACCAGUAGCUAGAUCAAAUUGUAAUAACAUUCUUAAAUUAACUAGGCAAGUCAGUUAAGAACAAAUUCUUAUUUACAAUGACGGCCUCCGGGGAACAGUGGGUUAACUGCCUUGUUGAGGGGAAGAACGACAUGUUUUUACCUUGUCAGCUCGGGGAUUUGAUCCAGCAACCUUUCAGUUACUGGCCCAACGCUCUACCCGCCAGCCGAAACAUUUCCUUCGAGCCGGAUCAAGGGCCACUUCAUUGCUUGACGACUUUUGACGUGAAAAAUGAGUGCUGCGAAAAUGAGAAAAGUGGACUCUGAAUGUCGUGUGGACAGCAAAAUACUUUACUAAUAUUGGAUAUAAGGCGAUAUAUCUGAUAUGGCAAGAAAGUGUUGCCGCUUUUAAGGAAUAUAAUCUCGAUCGACGGUUUCAAUCUUUUUUCUAUAGCACUGGAUGCAGCUAUUAGCCAACAGUGCACUAACUAGCAGCAACAAACCCAACCCAUAACAAAACAUGUCACCAUUGGUUGCAUAGGGUAACGGUGUCUCCGGCCUGAAUCUAAUCCAAUCUGGAGUCACUCUACAUCUGUAAAGCAUAGAAUUGGCUUCCAAACGAGAUUGUUAUUUCUCAAGCUGUGUUUAAAAUUGAGGGAUGAUGACAAUCGUUGACCCUGUUUUUCUGUUAGACAAAUUGCACAGUUGGAUGCCAGACUGAUCGUUUGGUCAUGAACGGAUGCCGGGACUUACCAGAAAGAACAAAGCUUAUCAGGCAAGACCUCAGAAUAAAAGUAUCAUGCGACACAAGUAUCCCUGUGCCACCUCCGUUUUUGCCAGUGUCCCUCAACUCCUAAGAAAAAGACUCUCCAUCAUGAGGCCUCUGAUACUGACCUGAGGUAUUGCCCUGAUGACACAGAAGGCUUAAUCAACAACGACAGUUUUUCAAGAUAUGUCCAGUUUGCAGCAGAACAUGCAGCAUAGAGAAGACCAGCAAUGGAGCCCUUAUAAGCAUCAUGCCGACAUGCACUUGCUGUGAGCAUUCCUAUGAAUGGUACAGUAUUGCCAAGUAUCCAGCCAGCAACCUUCACCUGUCAGCGGCAACAGCUUUCACAGGCUCAUCAUUUGUACAAAUACAGAAUGUAACUUACUUUGACAAAUUAGAUAACACUAUUGUGAAGUACAAUUAUUGUAAGCUGAUAUUUUAGAGGAUAGCUCAGCUUUAAUAUUGCAGAUAUAUUGUGGCAUCUAUCAAUGUAAUUGUCUGCAUAAUUUCCAGUCCCCAAUAUACAUUAUCAGUCAAAAGUCUGGACACACCUACUCAUUCCUGGGUUCCUUUAUUUUUACUAUUUCCUACAUUUUAGAAUAAUAGUGAAGACAUCACUAUGAAAUAACACAUAUGGAAUCAUGUAGUAACCAAAUCAACAUAUAUUUUGUAUUCUUCAAAGUAGCCACCCUUUGCCUUGACAGCUUUGCACACUAUUGGCAUUCUCUCAACCAGCUUCAUGAGGUAGAC